rnacentral:rRNA from 1 species
GACGAACGCUGGCGGCGUGCUUAACACAUGCAAGUCGAACGGAAAGGCCCUGCUUUUGUGGGGUGCUCGAGUGGCGAACGGGUGAGUAACACGUGAGUAACCUGCCCUUGACUUUGGGAUAACUUCAGGAAACUGGGGCUAAUACCGGAUAGGAGCUCCUGCUGCAUGGUGGGGGUUGGAAAGUUUCGGCGGUUGGGGAUGGACUCGCGGCUUAUCAGCUUGUUGGUGGGGUAGUGGCUUACCAAGGCUUUGACGGGUAGCCGGCCUGGGAGGGUGACCGGCCACAUUGGGACUGCGAUACGGCCCAGACUCCUACGGGCGGCAGCAGUGGGGAAUAUUGCACAAUGGGCGGAAGCCUGAUGCAGCAACGCCGCGUGCGGGAUGACGGCCUUCGGGUUGUAAACCGCUUUCGCCUGUGACGAAGCGUGAGUGACGGUAAUGGGUAAAGAAGCACCGGCUAACUACGUG